rnacentral:rRNA from 1 species
AUUGAACGCUGGCGGCAGGCCUAACACAUGCAAGUCGAACGGUAACAGGAAACAGCUUGCUGUUUCGCUGACGAGUGGCGGACGGGUGAGUAAUGUCUGGGAAACUGCCUGAUGGAGGGGAAUAACUACUGGAAACGGUAGCUAAUACCGCAUAACGUCGCAAGACCAAAGAGGGGGACCCUCGGGCCUCUUGCCAUCGGAUGUGCCCAGAUGGGAUUAGCUUGUUGGUGGGGUAACGGCUCACCAAGGCGACGAUCCCUAGCUGGUCUGAGAGGAUGACCAGCCACACUGGAACUGAGACACGGUCCAGACUCCUACGGGAGGCAGCAGUGGGGAAUAUUGCACAAUGGGCGCAAGCCUGAUGCAGCCAUGCCGCGUGU